rnacentral:sRNA from 2 species
GUUAACCUAUUGCUUAAUCUUUACAGAGCGGGGGAACCAUAUUGAUAUCCAGAUAGAAUUUUUGAGAUAUCUUGGGGUGUAUCGUACAUGUUGCGAAGAGGACUCUCAUUCUCUAACCCGUCAGCUAACCUCGUAAGCGUAUUGAGAGAAGGG